UACGAAGGGGGCUAGCGUUGUUCGGAAUUACUGGGCGUAAAGCGCACGUAGGCGGAUGUGUCAGUCAGGGGUGAAAUCCCGGGGCUCAACCUCGGAACUGCCUCCGAUACAGCACAUCUCGAGUCCGGAAGAGGUGAGUGGAAUUCCUAGUGUAGAGGUGAAAUUCGUAGAUAUUAGGAAGAACACCAGUGGCGAAGGCGGCUCACUGGUCCGGUACUGACGCUGAGGUGCGAAAGCGUGGGGAGCAAACAGG
rnacentral:rRNA from 1 species